AACGAACGUUGGCGGCAUGCCUAACACAUGCAAGUCGAACGAGACCUUCGGGUCUAGUGGCGCACGGGUGCGUAACGCGGGGGAACCUGCCCUUAGGUUCGGAAUAACUCCCCGAAAGGGGUGCUAAUACCGGAUAAUGUCUUCGGACCAAAGAUUUAUCGCCUUAGGAUGGGCCCGCGUUGGAUUAGCUAGUUGGUAGGGUAAAAGCCUACCAAGGCGACGAUCCAUAGCUGGUCUGAGAGGAUGAUCAGCCACACUGGGACUGAGACACGGCCCAGACUCCUACGGGAGGCAGCAGUGGGGAAUAUUGGACAAUGGGCUAAAGCCUGAUCCAGCAAUGCCGCGUGAGUGAUGAAGGCCUUAGGGUUGUAAAGCUCUUUUACCCGGGAUGAUGAUGACAGUACCGGGAGAAUAAGCUCCGGCUAACUCCGUG
rnacentral:rRNA from 1 species